GAUGAACGCUGGCGGCGUGCUUAACACAUGCAAGUCGAACGAAGCAUUUGCGACAGAUUUUUUCGGAAUGAAGUUGCUUAUGACUGAGUGGCGGACGGGUGAGUAACGCGUGGGUAACCUGCCUUGUACUGGGGGAUAGCAGCUGGAAACGGCUGGUAAUACCGCAUAAGCGCACAAUGUUGCAUGACAUGGUGUGAAAAACUCCGGUGGUAUAAGAUGGACCCGCGCCUGAUUAGCUAGUUGGUGAGAUAACAGCCCACCAAGGCGACGAUCAGUAGCCGACCUGAGAGGGUGACCGGCCACAUUGGGACUGAGACACGGCCCAGACUCCUACGGGAGGCAGCAGUGGGGAAUAUUGCACAAUGGAGGAAACUCUGAUGCAGCGACGCCGCGUGAGUGAAGAAGUAAUUCGUUAUGUAAAGCUCUAUCAGCAGGGAAGAUAGUGACGGUACCUGACUAAGAAGCUCCGGCUAAAUACGUG
rnacentral:rRNA from 1 species